rnacentral:lncRNA from 1 species
CGAAAUAUUGGUUGGAAAUUUUUAUCAAAUUUAGAACUUUUUCAUGUCGGGGUUACUAUUCAUGAGUUACUAUUCACGAGUUACUAUUCACGAGUACUAUUCACGAAGCGUGAAGAUGUUUUUUGUGAAAUUUCUAUCUUUUGGUGUCGGAGUUACUAUUCACGUAUACGGCACUAUUCACGUAUACGGCACUAUUCACGAAUACGGC